rnacentral:lncRNA from 1 species
UAGUGUCUAUUUUGUUUGCUGAAUAUUUUUUUGUUUUGGGAUUUUGUUUAUUUUUGUUGGUUGAUCUAUCAGUUGGAGAGGAAGGAGUGGGUUCAUUUAUUCGUAACGACCUACAGUCCAUGUAGCAUUGCUGGUAGGGCCUACACUUCCGAUGAGACAACUUUGUCGUAUUGUAAUAUUGCCACUCAUGAAUGAAAGUUUG